rnacentral:sRNA from 12 species
CCAAUGAAUCUUCAAGCUUCCCAGUUUGUGGAAGCCGACGAGCCAAUCUUCUGCAAUGCUAUUAAGAGGAUUACCCAUUAGAGGUUCAUAGCGAUAGGUCGCUCUAUCAGCUUGUCAAAUGCAUUCUGAAG